CCCGAGCGUUGUCCGGAUUUAUUGGGCGUAAAGCGAGCGCAGGCGGUUAGAUAAGUCUGAAGUUAAAGGCUGUGGCUUAACCAUAGUACGCUUUGGAAACUGUUUAACUUGAGUGCAAGAGGGGAGAGUGGAAUUCCAUGUGUAGCGGUGAAAUGCGUAGAUAUAUGGAGGAACACCAGUGGCGAAAGCGGCUCUCUGGCUUGUAACUGACGCUGAGGCUCGAAAGCGUGGGGAGCAAACAGGAUUAGAUACCCUGGUAGUCCACGCCGUAAACGAUGAGUGCUAGGUGUUAGACCCUUUCCGGGGUUUAGUGCCGCAGCUAACGCAUUAAGCACUCCGCCUGGGGAGUACGACCGCAAGGUUGAAACUCAAAGGAAUUGACGGGGGCCCGCACAAGCGGUGGAGCAUG
rnacentral:rRNA from 1 species